rnacentral:tRNA from 1 species
GGCCCCGUAGCUCAGAGGCAGAGCACCCGCCUUUUAAGCGGAGUGUCGAAGGUUCGAAUCCUUCCGGGGUCA